rnacentral:rRNA from 1 species
CGCAAGCCUGACGGAGCAAGACCGCGUGAGGGAGGAAGGCUCUUGGGUUGUAAACCUCUUUUCUCAGGGAAGAAGCUCUGACGGUACCUGAGGAAUCAGCCUCGGCUAACUCCGUGCCAGCAGCCGCGGUAAUACGGAGGAGGCAAGCGUUAUCCGGAAUGAUUGGGCGUAAAGCGUCCGCAGGUGGCAAUGUAAGUCUGCUGUCAAAACCCAGGGCUCAACUCUGGUCAGGCAGUGGAAACUACAUAGCUAGAGUUCGGUAGGGGCAAAGGGAAUUCCCAGUGUAGCGGUGAAAUGCGUAGAUAUUGGGAAGAACACCGGUGGCGAAAGCGCUCUACUGGGCCAUAACUGACGCUGAGGGACGAAAGCUAGGGGAGCG